rnacentral:rRNA from 1 species
AUUGAACGCUGGCGGCAUGCUUUACACAUGCAAGUCGAACGGUAACAGGCCGCAAGGUGCUGACGAGUGGCGAACGGGUGAGUAAUGCAUCGGAACGUGCCCAGUCGUGGGGGAUAACGCAGCGAAAGCUGCGCUAAUACCGCAUACGAUCUAUGGAUGAAAGCGGGGGACCGUAAGGCCUCGCGCGAUUGGAGCGGCCGAUGUCAGAUUGGGUAGUUGGUGGGGUAAAGGCUCACCAAGCCGACGAUCUGUAGCUGGUCUGAGAGGACGACCCGCCACACUGGGACUGAGACACGGCCCAGACGCCUACGGGAGGCAGCAGUGGGGAAUUUUGGACAAUGGGCGCAAGCCUGAUCCAGCAAUGCCGCGUGCAGGAAGAAGGCCUUCGGGUUGUAAACUGCUUUUGUACGGAACGAAACGGCUCUGGUUAAUACCCGGGGCUAAUGACGGUACCGUAAGAAUAAGCACCGGCUAACUACGUGCCAGCCGCCGCGGUAACAC